AUUCAGUGAAUCAUCGAAUCUUUGAACGCACAUUGCACUCUCUGGUAUUCCGGAGAGUAUGCUUGUUUGAGUAUCAGUAAACACCUCAAAUCUCUUUUUUAUUAAAGAGAAUUGGACUUGAGCAAUCCCAACUCUUUGCAAAAAGGGGCGGGUUGCUUGAAAUGCAGGUGCAGCUGGACAUUCUUCUGAGCUAAAAGCAUAUUUAUUUAGUCCCGUCAAACGGAUUAUUACUUUUGCUCUAGCUAAUAUAAAGGUCGAAUGUGCUAUAUGCUGACUGAUGCAGGAUUACCAAGUUUUACUAGCUAAAACUUGUAAACUCGAUCUCAAAUCAAGUAAGACUACCCGCUGAACUUAA
rnacentral:sRNA from 1 species